GAUGAACGCUGGCGGCGUGCCUAAUACAUGCAAGUCGAGCGGACGGACGGGAGCUUGCUUCCAGUCCGUUUGCCGCGGACCGGUGAGUUACACGUUGGAAACCUGCCUGUAAGACUGGGAUAACUCCCGGAAACCGGGGCUAAUUACGGCUAACUCUUUCCCACAGAUGAGGGCAAUCUGAAAGAUGGCAUUUCGCUAUCACUUAAGGAUGGGCCCGCGGCGCUUUAGCUAGUUGGUGAGGUAACGGCUCACCAAGGCGACGAUGCGGAGCCGACCUGAGAGGGUGAUCGGCCACACUGGGACUGAGACACGGCCCAGACUCCUACGGGAGGCAGCAGUAGGGAAUCUUCCGCAAUGGACGAAAGUCUGACGGAGCAACGCCGCGUGAGUGAUGAAGGUUUUCGGAUCGUAAAACUCUGUUGUCAGGGAAGAACAAGUACCGGAGUAACUGCCGGUACCUUGACGGUACCUAAACAGAAAGCCACGGCUAACUACGUG
rnacentral:rRNA from 1 species